rnacentral:rRNA from 1 species
AAGCGGUGGAGCAUGUGGUUUAAUUCGAUGCAACGCGAAAACCUUACCUACACUUGACAUACUUGGAAUCUUUUGUAAUGAAAGAGUGCCUUUUGGAGCCAAGAUACAGGUGCUGCAUGGCCGUCGUCAGCUCGUGUCGUGAGAUGUUGGGUUAAGUCCCAUAACGAGCGCAACCCUUACCCUUAUUUGCCAGCGAUUCGGUCGGGAACUAUAAGGGGACUGCCGGUGAUAAACCGGAGGAAGGUGAGGACGACGUCAAGUCAUCAUGGCCCUUACGUGUAGGGCUACACACGUGCUACAAUGGGGAGUACAGAUAGACGCUAAAGCGCGAGCUGGUGCUAAUCUCAUAAAACUCUUCGUAGUCCGGAUUGCAGUCUGCAACUCGACUGCAUGAAGUCGGAAUCGCUAGUAAUCGCGAAUCAGCAUGUCGCGGUGAAUACGUUCUCGGGUCUUGUACACACCGCCCGUCACACCAUGGGAGUGUAUUGCACCAGAAGUGGGUAGUCUAACCUUCGGGAGGGCGCUCACCACGGUGUGGUCCAUGACUGGGGUGAAGUCGUAACAAGGUA